rnacentral:rRNA from 1 species
GAUGAACGCUGGCGGCGUGCUUAACACAUGCAAGUCGAACGAGAAGUGAAGACGGAAACCUUCGGGCGGAAGGCUUUAUUUCGAGUGGCGGACGGGUGAGUAACGCGUGGGUAACCUGCCUCAUACAGGGGGAUAACAGUUGGAAACGACUGUUAAUACCGCAUAAGACCACAGCACCGCAUGGUGCGGGGGUAAAAACUCCGGUGGUAUGAGAUGGACCCGCGUUCGAUUAGCCAGUUGGCGGGGUAACGGCCCACCAAAGCGACGAUCGAUAGCCGAUCUGAGAGGAUGACCGGCCACAUUGGGACUGAGACACGGCCCAAACUCCUACGGGAGGCAGCAGUGGGGAAUAUUGCACAAUGGGGGAAAACCUGAUGCAGCGACGCCGCGUGAGUGAAGAAGUAUUUCGGUAUGUAGAGCUCUAUCAGCAGGGAAGAAAAUGACGGUACCUGAGUAAGAAGCCCCGGCUAACUACGUG